ACUUAAAUUGUUGUAUCUCUGCCCCUGACACACAGUUUCUUUUCACUUUGCAGGCAAAGCUGUCUGUCUCCGGUUGCUUGACAUUGACAUAUGCACACCUCCAUUUCCUCUUAACAGACUUUCCUCUGUUAAGGCCUACAGAUGCACUGGUCUGUCUGUUGGCAUGAUGUUUUGAUGAAAGAAAAAGAAAGGAGAGAAAGCAACUUUUUUAAAAAUAAAGACACAUGCUGAAGAACCCUAACCCUGGUGCAAAUCCUGAAGAUGCAUGCUGGCAGCAUGCAUUGUUCCUGUAAUAGAAAGGGAAAAUGCAGCCUUCUGCUUUCCUGGAGUUCACAAAGGCACAAUGUAUAUGCUUAAGGGGGCACUCUGCUGACUACUUUUUGGAAGUUUCUUACGCUUUCUGGCUGGUAAGUCAGACCACAUCUGGUUGGUGAACUGGAGACUCUAGGUGCAUCUAGCAAUAGAUUUGCAACGAGAGAGCAAAACAGGAGAAGCACCACUGGAUUAUUUGGCUGUUAUGUGCCAGAGUUGCUGCUGGGAGCACAUAUAUUAGCUGAGGGGAAAAGAGGCAGGAAGUACUUUCCCUCAUCUUCUCAGCAAUUUCCAAGGCUGGCGUGAGGUUUGUGUGUGUGCUUAAAAUGUGUUUGUCUUCUGUUUUGUGAAUACUUUAAAUCCAGUUCUUAUGAUCUCAACUUUGAUUUGUGUAGAAGUCUUUUGAGUUCCUACCUUGAUAGAUCAGAAUUUUUAAUCUAGGUCUAGAUUUUCCUUGGAAAAAUCUAGAGGAUACAAGGAGAAUAUGCCCCCUUUCUGACUAAGUGUGCUCAGACUCACCUUUUACAACAGCUCAUACCUUGCAGAGGAGAAAUUAUGACAAAUCUGUGCAUAGUGCAAACUGAUGAUGGGCCAUUUUGAGGGUCUUUAAAAACUCUUACUUCCAGAAAUAAAAUCUUUUUCUAUUAAAAAAUCUAAACUUUUUCUGGAAAAAUCAUGUUACCUAUCAUUUGGAAUAUGGUAUCAAUUCUUUUCUGUUCCACUUCCCAAAUAUCUCUCAUCAUCUCUCCAAUCCACUUUUACCAAUGCACAUUCUGCUCUCUUAGCGUGUAUUUUAUUUCUAGAAUCCAUGCAAGGGGAAGCUGGGGGCAGUGCUGAGUUAUACUGAGAAGACAGAUCUGUAAGAAUCUCGAUAAAUUUGCAGUAGCUGCAAGGUAGAAAUCACUGCUGACAUUAAAUUUGGGUUUUGAAACAGGAUAGGGAUGGAAUCAAUAUGCAAAAAAUUAAGUGAAUGACUGGAUUAACUAAUUACUGUGAUUAUCUUGCUGCCUCAUGAUUACAGUGAUGGUUGCUGAAAGGCAGCUAGAAAUUACAAGGUUCAGAAUGAGAUCUCACAGGAUCUCCCUUUGAAGCUCCUGCUAUGCCUGUGAGAUAUUUGGUACUGACUUCACUGAUCGUAUAAACAGAAUGUCCUAAUAUGUACAUUUCCAUUUUCUAUUAAAAUAAAUUUGGUCAUAGAGUGAGCCACUCUGAUUACUAGCUGGUGCCAGGCAAAAUGAAUGUUGUAUUAGGAGCAACCAUGUUUUCCUGAGUUUUUUUUCUUCUUUUCAUUUAUAUAUAAUGAUGAAUUGUACCCAAAUAGUAAGAGAAAGACUUGUAAUUUUGGGAUUUUUUUGGUGGUAAUAGAAUAGAUAUAUUCAAUACAUCUUGAGUAUAAUACAGUUUUAAAAAGCUUCUCAUUUCUUUUCCAUCCCUUCCCUGUGAAGGGAUCAUUUUAUUUAAUGCAGUAGGCUGGGCCAUUUGUGCAGUAGGAUUAUGAAAUGAUGAAUCUCUUUCUCUGGGUGAGCUUCUACUUGACAAAUAGUGUAUAGUCAUUAAUUCACCCUAACUCCUUUACCAGGCAUCCAGAUUUAUCCAGUACUCACUAUUGUCAUAUAUUUCUGCAGAGCACACAGAUCGAUCUGGAUUGGAGCAGGUUAACGACUAGCUCCAACUCUGUAAUAUCCUAACUUUACAGCAGAAGUAUGACUAAUGGGAACAGCCAGUCAUUCACUUUCUUUACCUGUAGAGGACUUGUUUUCCAGAUCUAAAUAAACUUAAUCUCAUCUUUACCAUUAAACUCUGAGCUCUGCCUUAUCUCCAGUGAAGUCAGUGCAACAGUGUCCAAGACUUGUAGUAUAAGCUCUUUGCCUUUGGUUUGACCUUACAAAAGGAUUCAGACCCUUGUAUUUACACAAAGCUUUCUUCAGUCUUUCACUUCUCAAGGGUCAGAAUUAUUUCUUUUCUUUUUUUUUUAAUGGUGUUUAUUCAGUGGUUUUUUUUGUAGUCUUUGGUAGGAGUUGAGUAUGUUCUUUUUAAGAGGAACUGUAGAACCGAUUCGCAUUUUGGUUGACUGUCUGGACUGAAAGCUCCACAAGCAUAGGCUGCCUUCAGUAUAAACGUUAUGUUUUGAUUUUUGCCUGAAAAGGAACACCAUUUGAACACCUUUUCAGCUGUUGUCCUCAACUGUAGUUCCAGCAUGAAGAGGAAAUGUGGUGAUUUGAAAAGAACUGAAAAGGUACUAAAAACGUUGUUGUAAGGCUUGUAAGGGAGUUGUAAAUAAUCGUUGUUGAUGUGUCUCCUGAUAAGAAAAAGAUAAGAAAAAGAUUUAUGAGAGCAUUAUUUUUUCUGUGAUAACUCCUUUUUGAGUGAUCUUCCAUUAAAAUAUUGUCUUUCUGCUGAAAUCUGUACAGGUCUCACAUUAAACUAAAUUAAUAUUGCUACACAUCAUAGAAACAAAAUUGUACAAAAGAAAAAUGAGUAAUCCAUGACUAAGAAUGGCAAAGGUGGAGCAUUUUAUAUCUGCAUCACAAACAACUGACAAUGUCAAU